rnacentral:rRNA from 1 species
CUACGGGUUGCUGCAGUGGGGAAUAUUGCACAAUGGAGGAAACUCUGAUGCAGCAACGCCGCGUGGAGGAUGACACUUUUCGGAGCGUAAACUCCUUUUAUAUAGGAAGAAGAUGGCGAUACUAUAUGAAUAAGCGCCGGCUAACUCCGUGCCAGCAGCCGCGGUAAUACAGAGGGCGCAAGCGUUACUCGGAAUCACUGGGCGUAAAGAGCGUGUAGGCGGAUUAAAAAGUCAGAAGUGAAAUCCUAUAGCUUAACUAUAGAACUGCUUCUGAAACUCUUAAUCUAGAAUAUGGGAGAGGUAGAUGGAAUUUCUGGUGUAGGGGUAAAAUCCGUAGAGAUCAGAAGGAAUACCGAUUGCGAAGGCGAUCUACUAGAACAUUAUUGACGCUGAGACGCGAAAGCGUGGGGAGCAAACAGGAUUAGAUACCCGCGUAGUC